GAUGAACGCUGGCGGCGUGCCUAAUACAUGCAAGUCGAGCGAACGGACGAGAAGCUUGCUUCUCUGAUGUUAGCGGCGGACGGGUGAGUAACACGUGGAUAACCUACCUAUAAGACUGGGAUAACUUCGUGAAACCGGAGCUAAUACCGGAUAAUAUUUUGAACCGCAUGGUUCAAAAGUGAAAGACGGUCUUGCUGUCACUUAUAGAUGGAUCCGCGCUGCAUUAGCUAGUUGGUAAGGUAACGGCUUACCAAGGCAACGAUGCAUAGCCGACCUGAGAGGGUGAUCGGCCACACUGGAACUGAGACACGGUCCAGACUCCUACGGGAGGCAGCAGUAGGGAAUAUUCCGCAAAGGGCGAAAGCCUGACGGAGCAACGCCGCGUGAGUGAUGAAGGUCUUCGGAUCGUAAAACUCUGUUAUUAGGGAAGAACAUAUGUGUAAGUAACUGUGCACAUCUUGACGGUACCUAAUCAGAAAGCCACGGCUAACUACGUG
rnacentral:rRNA from 1 species